GAAUACUUUGGAGAAGGAAAAAAAAAAAGAAAGUUUUAUAACUUCUACUUGCCUUAAGGUAUUAAAUAUUUCUUUUACUUAUAUGAUUUAUUUUUAAUAAUUGUCUGCCUUUAAUUACUUGUAGUAUGAUUUAAUUACUUGUAGUUUGUAAUGCUAUGAUGAUAUGAACAAUCUGCAUUCUUUGCUUCAAAUCGUUUUCUUUAUUUAGAAUCACAUGAAUUCUUUACAUAUCAUGGAACUAGACAUCCUAAGCUGUACACUGUUAACAUAAAUUAUUCUUUAUUGAUUUUGAUGAUAACAAACAUGAUUAAAAUUGAUUAAUCGUUUUAAAAGCUCAACAUAAUUUUCAUCUAUUUUGACAAGUUUCAUAAAGUAUUUUUAUAAAGAUUUGGAGACAAAACAGUCAUCUUGCAAAAUAGUUCACUGCAGCAGUUUUUGUGGAAAACGGCGAUCCGACAUGUGUAGUAAACGGCUCGCCGAUUUCAAGCAGAAAUGGAGAUUAGCCUCUGGACGAAAACGGCACACCGACAUUUGUGAUAAACGGCUCGCCGAUAUCAACCAGAACUGAAGGGUAGUCUCUGGACCUAAACGGCGAACCGACAUGUGUGAUAAACGGCUUGCCGAUAUCAACCAGUAGCCUCUGGAACAAAACGGCGAACCGACAUAUGUGAUAAACGGCUCGCCAAUAUCAACCAGUAGCCUCUGGACCUAAACGGUGAUCCGACAUCUAGAUAACGGCGAUCCGACAAUUUGAAAAAUCAGCCCAACGGUCAUAUUGACUAGUCAAACGGCGAUCCGACAGUGUGCAGAAAGUCAAUAACGGCUAGUUUUCAGCAGCAGCUAUAAAUAAGCUCAUUCAAAUUCAAGCAAAGAUUGAUCACAACACAACCAUUUGAGCUAAUAUUCCAGAAUACAAUCUUCAUAGAGCUUAGAACACAUUCUUGCUUCAUCUAUUCACAUAUUAAGCAUCAUUGUGUAAUCUUAUAUAUUGUGAGAGGCAAAACAGUUUGUAAUCUUUUACGUUGAGUGAUUGUAAGUGUUGGGAUACACUUGGGUUAAGAGAUUGGGGAUAAUCUCUUGUUGUAAAGGUCCAUUGACACCUUGGAAGUCAAGUGUAAGCAUUUGAAGCCUUGGAGGCUUGCUUAGUGGAAUCCUCAAGCCCAGAAAGCUUGGAGGCGUGGACGUAGGCGAAGUUGGCUGAACCACGUAAAAAUCUCGGUGUUUGAAUCCCUCUUCCCUUAUCUUUUUAUAUUGUGAUCAUCUUAAUUGUCAUUGCUUUGAAUUUGAUUUAUAAUUGCAUUAAGAUUUUCUUUAAUAAAUUGAAUAAUUUUUUAGAAUCCCAAUUCACCCCCACUCUUGGGUUGCAUACUUGUAUUUCAUACACGUCUUUAAAAAUUUUGGCAAUUUUUGUAUCAACAAACUAUGUCUCGUAUGAUUGCAUAUUUAAUUUCAUAAUUUUAUUCAUUAUGGUUAAAUUAUAAAAAAUCAUAACAUGCGAUUGUUGCAAAACUGGAAAUUGUUUUCCAGAAUUUCAGAAGCUGAAACAUGUAACAGUUUUGGCUAAUUUAUGAACAUUAUAUGCCAUGUUAGGAUUUUAUAAUGAAAUUUCAAUCUUUCCUUUGUCUUUUAAAAAACAUGGAAUCGCUAUUUUUGGGUAUGUAAAAUAAAAG
rnacentral:lncRNA from 1 species